CUUUGUAACUAUCUUCCCAAGCUCUGCUUAUUAGUCCCAGUUGUCCUUAAUAGAGUACUUUACUCUCAUCUAAGCCUCUGACCCCUCAAGCUGUGCUCAGUUUGAAACACUAAUAACAAAAAUGCCAAAUGAAUCGCGGAAAAAGAUGGUAGGAUCAUAAGGCUCGCGGUGUAACUUGUGGCAGAUGGAAAACCAGCUCAGACAUGUCCUCUGGAGUGACAGCAGAUGAUUGCUCCCUCUUUAAAUGGUCCCUUCCCCCACAAAGAAGGAAACAAAAGCAUAAAAAAAGAAGAGGACCAUUAGAAGUACAUAAAAGAAGAGCUUUCUUUCUCUGGAUGUGCAUAGUAUUCUUUCUCCUAAAUUCCUCUGGAUUAUCCUGGAUCAUUUCAUUGAUGCUAGUUACAUGGAGAAUCUAAAUACAUGUAGAAUCUCUGCCCAGAGGAAGGCUAUAUGGGCUAUAUGGAAACUCUUAUUUGUGGAUGACAUUUGCUUAGAGCACCAAGCCUUGGAACAUUAUUAGGUUUCUUUACUGAGUUCCAUGGACAGCAGAGGAAUUGAUUAACAAUCUGCACAAGGAAAAAAAAGGAAAAAUGUAAUCAUGUAAUAAUGUUAUUCAGAUGACAAUGUGUUAAAUGAGCAAUCCAUUGAGAUAUCCAGCUGUUUACAGUAGAUUAUGGAUGGGGACAGUUGGACAAUGAAGUGACCCAGUAUUGAAUAGGAUGAGCAGUUUGGGAUGGAUUACAUUUGGAAAAUUAUAUAGCUCUUUCAAUAAUUCUAAACUGCUCAUUGUUACAAUGGAACUUUGAAUUGGUAAAAGUGCAUCUUUUUAACACUUAUAUUUUCAUGCUGUUAUUUGGCUGUCAAUUCUAAGAGUCCACCAUAUAAAAAGAAACAAAAUUACAGC
rnacentral:lncRNA from 1 species